CUGAGCUAGUCUAGAGGUUUACCUGUUUGUUAGGGAAGGCCCUGAUGGCUCGUGUCUGGUACUGAGCUAGUCUAGAGGUUUACCUGAGCCCUGAUGGCUCGUGUCUGGUAUUGAGCUAGUCUAGAGGUUUACCUGAGCCCUGAUGGCUCGUGUCUGGUACUGAGCUAGUCUAGAGGUUUACCUGUUUGUUAGGGAAGGCCCUGAUGGCUCGUGUCUGGUACUGAGCUAGUCUAGAGGUUUACCUGAGCCCUGAUGGCUCGUGUCUGGUACUGAGCUAGUCUAGAGGUUUACCUGUUUGUUAGGGAAGGCCCUGAUGGCUCGUGUCUGGUACUGAGCUAGUCUAGAGGUUUACCUGUUUGUUAGGGAAGGCCCUGAUGGCUCGUGUCUGGUAUUUCAGACUGGACUCUCUCCUCUGCUGGACGUAGCCCAUAUUCCUCAGGUCCCAG